CAGCAAGCGCCUGGGAAGGGUCCUUCCAGGGUCUCCUGUGCUUUCUCGCCAUUUCCUCUCUGAAUUCCAGGCUCUGUGUCUCUGCUGGGGAUCAUCCACAGGCUGUGCAGUCGGUUUCACGUCCUGGCGAGCUGGAUGAGAGACAGAGAGAAGUCCUGUGGGCUUUGCAGGCCCCGGAGUGGAGUGGAGUGGUGCUCCCCACGCGGUGAGUGCAGACCCAGCGGUGCAUCUCAGCGGGCGCCACCCCAUGCAGACGGAACCUGCAGAACAAUGGCGCUGCAUCCUCUGGCUGGGAAAGGGUGAAUGGUUUCCAAGCAUUGUAAGAGUUCAAGAAAAAUCUUGUGAGACUCCAAGGAAGGUGAAAUGAUUUUUAUUUAACAUCCAGUUGGGCGCCCAGCUCUUGGAAUGAACAGCAAGUGCAUUGAACAAAGAGGAGUCUGCUCAAUGAAAUGCCCAGUCCAAAGGCUGUGAUGGAUGUAGGGACUGCUGCAAGACCAGACUGUGAGCAUCACAGACAGUGUGAACAGCUG